GUUUACAAGCACCGAAAGUUCAUCAACGAACGAUCGGGUACCUUUUGUAGAAUGGUCCGGCGAGUGAAUGUAACUGGCAAGGUUAAGCACUUAAGGUGUGAAGCCGUAGCGAGAGCGAGUCUAAAUAGGGCGCAUGAAGUCAGUUGUAUUCGACCCGAAACCGGGUGACCUACCCAUGUCCAGGCUGAAGUGCAGGUAAAACUUCAUGGAGGGCCGAACCGACUCCCGUUGAAAUGGUAGCGGAUGAGGCGUGGGUAGCGGAGAAAU
rnacentral:rRNA from 17 species